rnacentral:rRNA from 1 species
UACGUAGGGUGCAAGCGUUGUCCGGAAUUAUUGGGCGUAAAGAGCUCGUAGGUGGCCUGUCGCGUCGGCUGUGAAAACUCGGGGCUCAACUCCGAGCUUGCAGUCGAUACGGGCAGGCUAGAGUUCGGCAGGGGAGACUGGAAUUCCUGGUGUAGCGGUGAAAUGCGCAGAUAUCAGGAGGAACACCGGUGGCGAAGGCGGGUCUCUGGGCCGAUACUGACACUGAGGAGCGAAAGCGUGGGGAGCGAACAGGAU